GGGUUGUGAGGUUAAGCGACUAAGCGUACACGGUGGAUGCCCUGGCAGUCAGAGGCGAUGAAGGACGUGCUAAUCUGCGAUAAGCGUCGGUAAGGUGAUAUGAACCGUUAUAACCGGCGAUUUCCGAAUGGGGAAACCCAGUGUGUUUCGACACACUAUCAUUAACUGAAUCCAUAGGUUAAUGAGGCGAACCGGGGGAACUGAAACAUCUAAGUACCCCGAGGAAAAGAAAUCAACCGAGAUUCCCCCAGUAGCGGCGAGCGAACGGGGAGCAGCCCAGAGCCUGAAUCAGUGUGUGUGUUAGUGGAAGCGUCUGGAAAGGCGCGCGAUACAGGGUGACAGCCCCGUACACAAAAAUGCACAUACUGUGAGCUCGAUGAGUAGGGCGGGACACGUGGUAUCCUGUCUGAAUAUGGGGGGACCAUCCUCCAAGGCUAAAUACUCCUGACUGACCGAUAGUGAACCAGUACCGUGAGGGAAAGGCGAAAAGAACCCCGGCGAGGGGAGUGAAAAAGAACCUGAAACCGUGUACGUACAAGCAGUGGGAGCACGCUUAGGCGUGUGACUGCGUACCUUUUGUAUAAUGGGUCAGCGACUUAUAUUCUGUAGCAAGGUUAACCGAAUAGGGGAGCCGAAGGGAAACCGAGUCUUAACUGGGCGUUAAGUUGCAGGGUAUAGACCCGAAACCCGGUGAUCUAGCCAUGGGCAGGUUGAAGGUUGGGUAACACUAACUGGAGGACCGAACCGACUAAUGUUGAAAAAUUAGCGG
rnacentral:rRNA from 1 species